UUCUGUGGCUUCAACUGGUGAAA
rnacentral:misc_RNA from 1 species